UAAGGAAUAUUGGACAAUGCCCGCAAGGGUGAUCCAGCCAUUCCGCGUGCAGGAUGACGGCCCUAUGGGUUGUAAACUGCUUUUAGAUGGGAAGAAAGUGUGAUAUUUAUAUUGCUUUGACGGUACCAUCAGAAUAAGCACCGGCUAACUCC
rnacentral:rRNA from 1 species